UAGGGAAUCUUCCGCAAUGGACGAAAGUCUGACGGAGCAACGCCGCGUGAGUGAAGAAGGAUUUCGGUUCGUAAAACUCUGUUGUUAGGGAAGAAAAAAUGUAUAGUAACUAUAUACAAAAGAGACGGUACCUAACCAGAAAGCCACGGCUAACUACGUGCCAGCAGCCGCGGUAAUACGUAGGUGGCAAGCGUUGUCCGGAAUUAUUGGGCGUAAAGCGCGCGCAGGUGGUUUAGAAAGUCUGAUGUGAAAGCCCACGGCUCAACCGUGGAGGGUCAUUGGAAACUAAUAAACUUGAGUGCAGGAGAGAAAGGUGGAGUUCCUAGUGUAGCGGUGAAAUGCGUAGAGAUUAGGAGGAACACCGGUGGCGAAAGCGGCUUUUUGGCCUGCAACUGACGCUGAGGCGCGAAAGCGUGGGGGGCAAACAGG
rnacentral:rRNA from 1 species